rnacentral:rRNA from 1 species
AGCUUGUUGGUGGGGUGAUGGCCUACCAAGGCGACGACGGGUAGCCGGCCUGAGAGGGCGACCGGCCACACUGGGACUGAGACACGGCCCAGACUCCUACGGGAGGCAGCAGUGGGGAAUAUUGCACAAUGGGCGCAAGCCUGAUGCAGCGACGCCGCGUGAGGGAUGACGGCCUUCGGGUUGUAAACCUCUUUCAGCAGGGAAGAAGCCUUGGCCUUUUGGUUGGGGUGACGGUACUUGCAGAAGAAGCACCGGCUAACUACGUGCCAGCAGCCGCGGUAAUACGUAGGGUGCGAGCAUUGUCCGGAAUUAUUGGGCGUAAAGAGCUCGUAGGCGG